rnacentral:rRNA from 1 species
UACGGAGGAUCCAAGCGUUAUCCGGAAUCAUUGGGUUUAAAGGGUCCGUAGGCGGCCUUAUAAGUCAGUGGUGAAAUCUCCUAGCUCAACUAGGAAACUGCCAUUGAUACUGUAAGGCUUGAAUUUUUGUGAAGUAACUAGAAUAUGUAGUGUAGCGGUGAAAUGCUUAGAUAUUACAUGGAAUACCAAUUGCGAAGGCAGGUUACUAACAAACGAUUGACGCUGAUGGACGAAAGCGUGGGGAGCGAACAGGAUUAGAUACCCUGGUAGUCCACGCCGUAAACGAUGGAUACUAGCUGUUCGGAGCAAUCUGAGUGGCUAAGCGAAAGUGAUAAGUAUCCCACCUGGGGAGUACGCACGCAAGUGUG